UACGGAGGGGGCAAGCGUUGUCCGGACUUACUGGGCGUAAAGGGUGCGUAGGCGGCCUGCUGCGUCGGUGCUGAAAGCGCCCGGCUUAACCGGGCGAGGCGUGCCGAUACGAGCGGGCUGGAGCCUUGGCGAGGGCGGCGGAACUCCUGGUGUAGUGGUGAAAUGCGUAGAGAUCAGGAAGAACACCCGUGGCGCAAGCGGCCACCUGGCCAAGAGCUGACGCUGAGGCACGAGAGCGUGGGGAGCGAACCGG
rnacentral:rRNA from 1 species